GGCCGGGGCCCGGGGACGCACCCGCUCUCCGCCCGCCAACCGGCUCGGCCCCGAGAAUCCCAGACGGGAGGCGGGCGGGUAGGUGGGAGCCGGCGCGCGUCUGAAGUCUGGAGAGCCCUCCCGACUCUAAGCUCCGGCCCGCCGCUCCGAGACCCCGGGAGAGUGCGGGGCGCGCUUUCUCUGCGCCUCGCGCAAAACUGCAGGCACGCCCGGGGCAAAGCCCACUCCUCCCGAAAGGAGAGCCUGGGUUCCAUUCUGCACACCCUGGAGUGCCUCCGGCUCUGAAAAAGCCAAGACGUCGGAGGCGUCUCCUCGCAGGCUGGGCUGGACUUUGGGCUGGAGGGGGCUGGGUGUGGAACCAGGCGGGGGAAGCUCGGCUUUCCCCGGAAGGGAGCAGUGGACAGGGAACUAGCAGUGGAGUUUUGGAGCAAGUGAGGCACCACCUGGCUCCCUUUAAGUGCACAUCCGGCUGCCGGUGCCACUCGCGCUGCCCGCCUGGGAGCCGGCCUCAGGGAGACCAGGGAUGGUCAGUCCCCAAGUCGUGGAGUCUUAUCUUCCCGACGCAUCAGAACUGUUGCAGCCCCAGGCACCAGCAGGAGAAGAGGGAGGCGGAACUGACAGCGUCUGCCCUGCUGGGUCUCGCUGACCAGCCUGGCCUCCCCGUGGCACUGAUCCAGAGCUGGUGGUCUCUACAAUACCCUCCAGCUCUGAGAUCUCCCAGUAAAGGGCAAGCCAGCCGCUAAGCAGAAGCUGGGACACACACACACAGCUAGCCUGCUAAGGCAUCUCCGUCCCCAGAUGCCCCCUCCUCCAGGGAGCCUUCCUUCUUGGCCAAAGGAGGUGAGGAGUGAGGUUCAAGGAAUGAGAGCUGGACUGGGAGCCUGGAGAUGGGGCUUUGGGCCCUGACAUGUAUGAAACAUGUGACAUGGGGCAAAUCUCCUGUUUCCUCAUGUGUGUAGAAUGAUACUUUGCCCAGGUUGUGGGGAUCACACGAGUCCGUGGUUGCGUGCUGGUGAUCCUGGGGUGAGCAGCGGGAGAGCUGACAAGACCCCUGCAGAGGCCAAGGCAGGCCCUGGGCCACUGGCUCUUCCAGGGAAAGAGGAAGAGGGGCUGGUGAUAACCCAGGUCCCUGGAUGCUGGGAUUUGGGGCCCAGUACUUCCUGGGGAGCCUGCUGCCCCCUGGGGACCUAGAGAAUGUCCUUCCCAUGGUUUGUCAGUGGUGACAUCUCAACAGAGAAGGACAAACGACCCCAGUCAUUUGAAGCCUGGCCUUUCCAGGGACACUUCAUGAAACCAGCAGAGAGUCAGCGGUGUCUCUAAAAGCCCAAACUCCAGCACCCUGUCUAUGGACACAAAACCCAAAGACACGGAAGAUUGGUGCGUAGACAACUCCAGAAGUAAGGAAAAAGGUGAAUUUUGCAAUCUUCACCUCUAAUGAACUUCAGAGCAGAAGCAUGCAUUUCGAGGCCCAUGAGGACAUGGAGCUCUCGUCUGCCGUGCAGCGCAGCAAGGACAUGGUGUGUGGGAUCUGCAUGGAGGUGGCCUACGAGAAAGCCAGCCCCAGCGAGCGCAGCCCCAGGAUCCUCUCCAACUGCAACCACACCUACUGUCUCAAGUCUAUUCGCAAGUGGAGGAGUGCUAAGCAAUUUUUUUUAAUUAAUUUAUUUAUGGCUGUGUUGGGUCUUCGUUGCUGCACGCAGGCUUUCUCUAGUUGCGGCGAGCGGGGGCUACUCUUCGUUGCAGUGCGCGGGCUUCUCAUUGCGGUGGCUUCUCUUGUUGCAGAGCACGGGCUCUAGGCGCACGGGCUUCAGUAGUUGUGGCACGUGGGCUCAGUAGUUGUGGCUUGCGGGCUCUAGAGCGCAGGCUCAGCGCUCUGGAGGGGAAGUGUCAUGGUUGGAGAGGGGUGUGCAGGGGCUUCAAAAGCAUUUGCAAUAACCUAGUUCUUUUGUUUUAAUCGAAGUAUAGUUAAUUUACAAUAUCGUGUUAGUUUCAGGUGUACAGCAAAGUGAUUCAGCUAUACAUAUAUAUUUAUAUAAUUAUUUACUUCCUUAUUUUCAGAUUAUUUUCUGUUAUAGAUAAUUACAAGAUACUGAAUCGCAGUUCCCUAGUUCUUAAAAUGAGUGGUUCACACAGAGGUGUUCACCAUAUAAUUGUGUGCAUAUGUUAGUAACUGUGAGCCUGUGCUGGCCACUUCCCCUGGGGAGAAUCCAGGAAGGCAGGGCUUAUCACCCUGGGAAUCCCCUGAUCCAGGAGGGGAGUUUUUGACUCCCCAGCCAGUGGGAGGAGGAAGCCCCCUCUCUCUUCCCCUCCCAAGGAAGACAUUGGGCUCUGGACUCCCCGGCCCCCAACCCCUGUCUACACAGGACAUAAGGCAGCUUCCUUUCCCCCAAAGAGGCCAGAGUGGAGACCAGGGGAUCCCCGGCCCCAGGCCAGCGGGGUUGGAAGUCACAGCCUGACUGUGACUGGGAGGUAAGACCCACACCCUAAAGAAUCCAGGGCAGUGGUUCCCUGGCUUUGGGUUUCACCAACUAAUAAUACUUUUUAAAAUAUAAAUACACAAAUCGUGUUGCCACCAUUUUGUGGGGUUUUUGUUUGUUUGUUUGCGGUACGCGGGCCUCUCACCGCUGUGGCCUCUCCCGUGGCGGAGCACAGGCUCCGGAUGCACAGGCUCAGCGGCCAUGGCUCACGGGCCCAGCCGCUCCGUGGCAUGUGGGAUCUUCCCGGACCGGGGCACGAACCCGUGUCCCCUGCAUCGGCAGGCGGACUCUCAACCACUGCGCCACCAGGGAAGCCCCACCAUUUUGUUUUUUGAAGAAAUUAGAAGACAACAAUUACCACUUCCUGUGCUCCCACCCCAUAAGUACAGGGUAUCUUGAUACUAAAAUAAUAGAAUUAAGGCAUGCAUACUUGAGAAAAGGAGAACCCUUUUCACUGAAUGCACGUAGCUUUAUGGAAACUUCACUGCAGUAGCCCGGUUUCCUCAGCGGGCAGUGGAGUAGAAAGUUGGGUCACAGAGAUCCAAUCAGGGGAAUUGCAUCUGGAAAAUUCUAAAACGAGGGCCAUGUGGGCAUCCAUGGCACUCAAGGGCAAGCAAGCCACCACCCUCACGGGCACACACACCAGACUCACCCCUUCCGAGGGACGGCCACAAGUGCAUACGCGCACGCACACACACACACGCUCCUCCCCGGGGCUCCCGGGUUGGAAAACCUGCCCUGGCAUUUAGGUGUGGCCAUACUUCUCUCCUGAGCCCAGAGCCGAGGGAGGGGCUCACCCAGCCCGUGUCAACCGGUGGAGCCAGGUGGGUGCUGACCCGGGGCCAGAGGUGGGCCACCCGCUCAGGCCCCCGGCCCACUGCCUCUGGCCGGGAGACCAGAGCUCUGUCCACCUGCAGGGAGUCCAGGGCCCUGUUCUGUACCCCUGGUUAGGGCUGUGACCUUGAGCAAUUCAGUCUCCCUCUCUGGGCCUCCAGAAGCCGGCUACAGCCCCGUGCACCAGGCCCAUGGGCAGAUGGGGGCUGCGCUGCUCAGCGGUAGCCUCAGGGACCCGCUUAGGAGUGUGUCUCGGGAUAGAGUGCCCGUCACCCACCUCCAGCGGAGGGCCCGCUGGCCGGCUUUAGGGCUGCUGAGGAGGGAGCCCUGCUGGGGUCAGGAAGGCGGCUGCCGUCCGCACUGGCCCCAGCGGCCUGUCCCAGGCUUCGACAGCUUGGUCACCCACCUGGAACAAACCUGGCCAGCCGGGAGCCCUGCGGGGAGCCUGACUCACUUCGUGGGGGGCCAUUGGGGCUAAUGUUUAACGGGCUCCCUCCUUGGCGGGACACUCCAGUCCCUGCAGCCCUGAGCCUGGGCCUGCCCUGACCAUCCUGCUGCGAGGUGGGCCCCAGACAGACAGUGGGCUCGGCCUCCUGCCCCGUGGAUAUAGAGACCUGGGGGGCGGCCGGCCUCCUCAGGCUCUGGGGCAGGCAGGGGUGUAGCAGGUGGCGUUCUGCCCUGGUCGUUCCUUCCAGGAGGCAGGAGCUCCCCCUCCAGCGGCUGCUAUAGGUCCGCGUCCCUGCUGUUGGAGAAAGUCGGCCCCUUUGUCCAUUUGGGUGCAUUUGCAUCUCAUUUGAACGUUUUCUCCUCUCUGGGGACAGGCGAACUCCAAGGUGCUUAUGCAUUGCCCUUGGUCCCCGGCCACAUCCCUUCUGGAAAGUUACAGGUCGGGCUCUGUUGAGGCAAGUCUGAUCCCAGAAAAGGGUGACCGCCAAGGCAGGUUGACCCAGGUCCCUGUCCCCAGCCUGCAGCUGUCACAGCCCUUGACUCGUGGUGAGUGACUUCAACUCUCCCAACCUCCGUCUCCUCAUGUGUCAAUGAAUCUGAGAUAACAGGUACCCCUUAGGUUUUGGUGAGAACGUAAUGAUGUGAUUCUGGUAAGGCAUGUUAUUAAGUCGUGACUAAGAGUCCGGGCUCUAACAGACCAGCUGAGUUCAGUCCUGGCCCCUCUUUCACUAACUGUGUGACCAUGGAAAGGUGUUAACCUCUCUGUGCCUCACUGUUCCCAUCUGUGAAAUGGGAGUGGUUGUGGUCCCUCUCUCAUGGGGUGUCGUGAAGGUUAGAUGAGCUAAUUCAGGUGCAGAGAGCAGUGCCUAGAGUGGAGUGAGUGCUGCGGCCGCUGGUCUUCAGUGGGGCCCAGCUCCAGGCUCUGCCCUGCUCGUGUCCAGGCUGGGUCCCUGCGUGGUGAGUGGGGACCGGGUGGAAUCGUGGUUCUCUCUCUCCAGAGACCACGCCUCCCGCCCAGGCCCUGCUGUGGCCACAACUAAGCCAGCCCCGCCCACUGCCACCCCAAGGAGCCCUGUGACAGAGCCCCCUGGCCGUCACCACUCAGGGCUCCGUUGCACGGGGGUAGGCUAGGUCUGGCCCUGCCAGGAAGCAGAACGGACUGGACAUCCUCCCGGAGGGCUUUGGGUGGGGCAGGGGCCCUUUCCCAGAGGGCCCUCCUCCCACGGGCUCUCUGCGCCAGGCGUUUGCUCUGAGUCAGGCCUGGCUUUGCAGGGCAGGGUGGGGGCCCCAGCGUGCUGGGCCCCAGGUCAAUAGUUGGGGGGCGGAACCGAGCACUGCCUUUGCAACUCGGGGCCAGGAUCUCCCAGGGCUGAGAGGAAGCAGAGGGGGGAGGCCACGCUACAGACUCAGGCCGGCCGCAGUGACCUGUGCGUCAGGGAAGGGGGCGUGUGUGUGGCUGCCAGGUGUGAGACCCAAGCCAGGCUCUGUGCCUGGCCCAGCCCCGCCGGGCUCUCCAGCUGCGUGUGUGUGUGUGUGUGUGUGUGUGUGUGUGUGUGUGUGUGUGUGUGUGUUUGUGUCUGGGUGUGUGUGUGUGUCUGGGUGUGUCUGCGCCUGAGAAUUUCCGUGUUUCUAGGAGCUGUUUUCUUUGAGCACGUCCACCUCUCCGCCCACUGAGCUGUUUGCAGCAAGGACCCAGGCAGACUGCUCUUCCCCCAGCACAUCUCGGGCUGCUGGUCCUUCAGGGGCUGGCGGCUGCGUGGCCGGGAGCCAGACCCCGGCCCAGGGGCCCCUGGUGCUGCACUUUGCUCCCAGCUUCUGGCAUUUAUGGUGGAUAAUGCACUGGGAGCAGAGGGCAGAACAGGGACUCACAGGCAGCUGGAGGGCUCUUCACACAGCCCAGCCUCUCCUGGGGCCAGUGCCGGGCGGCCAAAAAGCCAAGGGCCGGGCCGGGGACCAGCUGCUUCCUUGUAGGCAUAUCUCAGGAGUCACACGACACUGCCCGGAAAAGCCUCUCUGGCCCAGAUGUUGGUCUUUGCUCCACGGGAGCCGCUGCCCUCCGUGUGUCUGAAGGGGUGCCCCCAGGCCCCCCAUUCCACCCCAGCAGACUUGCACCCCUCACCGGGCUUUGGCCCAGAUGUCAGCGGGAUGAAGAAAGGACCUGACCUGGAGGACAGACAACUGACUGCCACACCUUGGGACAGAAUCAGUCCUGGGGGACAUGGUCCGUCAGGAGUGUGAAGGAAAGACAGUCAGGGAGGGUGGAUGCAGGUGGACAGGGCUGGCCCAGGACACGAUGGGAGAGCCCAGGGCAGGCGUGAACAAGGAGCUGCCUGGUGGCCGGGGUGGAACUGCAGGGCAUCCCCCUGGCGGGGCCAGGACACUGACCUGACUGCUCACCCCGAGGGUCAGGCACACCAGGGCACCCGGGAGAGGGGAGCCGGGGGAACGGCCCCGUGAGAGCAGCAGGGCCAGGGGCUGGGAAUGGAGGGGCCCCCUGCCAGCUGCAGGUCAGGCUGGGCUGAGCUGAGCACCCUGGCGGUGACGCUGUGCUGUGUGGUGUCACCGGACCAGAUGGCAGGGGGACCAGGAGGACCUGAGCAGGUGGUCCUCCAUGCUGCCCCGAGCUGCUGCCUGAAGCCCAGCACAGCCUCCCUCACAGGCUCCCUGCCUUCCCCCUCCCCCAGGUGCUUACAGCCAGAGCUGCAGAAGUGAGCAGGACACUGGUUUUAAUGGAGAGGCUGUGACGCCCACGGGCGCUUGACAUACAGAGUGGAGGGUGCAUGCCUCCUCGAGGCCUGGUUGCCCCACAGCGGCCGGAGCCCCAGGGAGCCCACCCGCCAGCCAGGCGACGUCUUCAGACGCUGCCGUUCCUCCCCUCUGUGUCUGUUAAUCCCAGUCCCGCCGGAAGGCGCUCAGGCUGGAGGGGAGACGUGGGAGCAGGGGGCGCGCUCUGCAGUGCAGGGGGGUAUGCUGAGAGGCCGGCUGGCGGGGCUGCAGGAAGGAGCAGGCAGGGCACCCGGAGUACAGUUUGGCCAGCUGCCUGCGGGACAGAGAGGCAGCAGCCCUCAGUUCCCAGCCCUUCUCACCCCGGCACCCAGGCUGGACUGCUGUCCACAGGGGCUCCUACGAGCCUCAGCUCUCCCCACCCUCCUCCCCACGGGCCUCCUCGCACCUGUCCGCCUGGGCAUCCUCCCACGUGUGGCUAAUCCCCACCUCUGAGCUCUGGUUGCACCAUCAGCCCCUGACAGGCCCUCCUGCGUCCGCAACCCCAUCACAUCCUCCGAGAGCCUGCCCCUCCAGGAGGCUUCUCAGACGGACAGGGCUGUCGGACAGACCCUGCCCUGUUGCGUGUGCCCUCCGCACGCCCACAGAGGGCUUCACGUGUCCUAACGUUCUGCUUUCUCCAGCAGCUUCCUCGGAGAGUGGGUGGCCUUGUCUCCUCUGAAUGGAAGCCCCCCGACCAGUGCUGGGCACUUUGCAGGAUUCCCCAGGAGGCAGUUAAAAGUGCUUUAGACUUUUGGAAAGUCAGAGCUGGAAGGCCCCGGGGGUCAUGGAAUCCAGGGGUUCUAAGCUCUGGCAUCAGAGUCACCCAGGGGCUGAUCCCACCCCAGAGGCUCGGAUCCAGCAGGCCUGGGAGGGGCCAGAUCAUCUGCGCCCCAGGCGAUACACCUGGGGGAUCACGGAGCUGACGCAACCCCAUGCUGCAGGUGAGGGAGUGAAGGGCCCCGAAGCAGGAAGGAUGUGCCUACGGUCUCGGGGGACCAGGACUGAGCCACCUCAGGGCUCCUCUUCCCCGCCCACCCUGCCCAGCCCGCCAGCCGCCGUCCUGGCGUCCCUGCGGCCCUGUCAGCUGGGGCCUGGGAGCGGGGAGCUGGCUCCGCCUACCUCUACUGGGAGGUCGGGGACUUAGCAGCGUCGAACAUCUUCUUGCGGCCCUCCAUCCCGGACAUGGCCUCCACGUUCUUCCUCCAGUCGCCCACCUCCACGGGCCGCUCCUGUGGGCGGCCACACAGGGGACACCUAGCACCAGGCCCUCCCCGCGCGGGAGCGGCUGGGUGAUGGGAAGUCAGCCUCCCCUAAGAGGGGGGACAUCCCAGCCCUCCUCCCAGAACAGGGGUCCUGGAACGUGCUGACAGCUGGCGGGGCUCAUGUUGGGGGUGCAGGGCUGGCCGAGGCCGCGUCGGGUGAGGUCGGGGGCUCACCUUCUCCGUGUCCUCCUUUUUCACAGACUUGAGGUUGGCGCGCAGGUCCAUGGACACCUUGUGCUUGGAGCCCAGCAGGGCGCGCAGCAUGGCGUCGGCCGAGACGCGGACGCGCCGCAGCGGGGGGCGCUUGAACUUCCCGCGCAGGUCCAGCACCUUGAGCUUCAGGUCCUUGAUCUGCGGGGAGGGGGCAGCUCAGGGCUCGGGGCCCCAGCCAGGCCCCACUUCUCCAGGCUCCAGGCCAGGCCCUCGGGGACGCCCAGACCCACUAUCUGUCACCUUGCAAACAGCCACCUUCGUUCUAUCCUAUUCAAUUGGUACAGGGGUGAGUGGGACUCCGAGAGGGAACUCGGUUAGCUGUGGCGGCCAUGCAGGGAAGAGACAGAAGUGUCAUUCGGAAGCCCUGUUUGCAGUGGGACGGGCCACUUCCUCUUAUUCCCGCUUCUAACCAGUCCCUUCCCAGUGAGCCUUCAGAGCAGGUCAUUGAGGGCACAGCCCUGGUCCAGCAGGAUGGAUAAACCCCAUGUCCGAGCCCCCUGGGGGAUUUCCAGGGUGCAACCUCAGGAGGAAAUUCUGGGGGGAGCCCUGAACCCACAGACCGUCAUUCCUGCUGGGGAGGAGUGGGAAGGAGGGAAGUGGCUCUAGUCCCUCCCCACCCCUCUGCUGGAACAGGCGCCCACUCCAGCAGCAGGAGCCCUGCCCUCCGCAUUCUGCCUACCGCACCAGAGCUGGGUCUGGGUGGAGCUGACGCCCCGCGCCCCAUGCCGGGGGAGUGCUGAGUGACUGGAGUGAGGGUCCGAGGCCAGGCCCAUCCCAGGUCCACUUGCUGUGUGACCUGGGCCGAGUUUCUCAGCCUCUCUGAACCUGUGUCCUCAUCUGUCAGGUGCAGAUAAAAGCACCCACUUCGUCCACAGGCGUGCAGGGAGGAUCAAAGGGACAAUGCAAAUGAAAGCCAUUUGCAAGGCUUUUCUGCUAGUUGAUUUCGCCCAACUUUCAGCUACCGUGAGUGGGGUCCUCACACGGUUAAGCUGGGCCAGGUGAGCUGUGAUGUGCGCUGGGUGAGGCGUAGACAGUGCACUUUGGACCUACGACAGUUUCACCUGACGAUGGGUUUCUUGGGACUUAACCUCAUGGUAAGUCAAAGGAGAUCUGUAUCUCCUUCCGGGCCCUUCACUCUGCAGUCACUGG